GGUAGGGAGAGGACUUGAACCUCUGUGUUCGGGGCUACAAACCGCCGCCUCUCUCUCGGCCACCC
rnacentral:tRNA from 1 species